GCCCUGCUAGCUCAGUCGGUAGAGCAUGAGACUCUCAAUCUCAGGGUUGUGGGUUUGAGCCCCACGUGAGCA
rnacentral:tRNA from 2 species